GCUCUAUUUUAAUACUGCAUUAAUUAUAAAAAUUGUAUAAAAUGUUUUUCUUUUUUUAAAAUAAAAGUAAAUAGCAUAUUAAAGGUAAAUACUGUUUAGCACUGAGAAAUCACCUCAAAAUACAAAAUAAGUAUUUAUUAUUUAAAUAUUAUAGUAUGUUAAUUUGUGAAAAUGAUAUUUAGUCUUCACACAGUCCAUCAUCCAGACGUAUCGAUCAUGUUCAGGAUGAAUGAAUGAGUGUCAUCAGAUGAAUGUGUGAACUGAUGAUGAUUUCACUGAUUUGAUGGGUGAGUGUAAAAUAACAUUCAAAUCUGAUCUUAUACAAUUCGUUUUUAAAAGUUACGACCAUGUUAUAAAACAACAAACCUUUGGUUCCAAACAGACACAGAAUGCAAAACUAUUAUCCAGGUUUUGAGGGCUGAUUUCACGUGAUGCUAAAACAGAAGCAGCACAAUUAAAGGUUGAUUAGGUUAUUAUCCCUCAUCUGUGUCACGGCAUCAAUUAAUGCGCUUGACGGCUGAGAGAUUGUCACCCUUCUGCAGAAACCUCUUCCCAUCGUUCACAGAGAAAGUUUCCCGCAGCUGUUUUCCGGCGGCAUUAACUGCUGUCAUCCAGAAACAACAGCAGCACAGCGGUGUCAAUUAUAUUUGAUUGACUGAGUAAAGCAGCACACAAAUAAGCCCAAACAAUGGACACAAAAAUCUAUAGACGACUCUCCUCCUGUCAAAUCAAGCGCUCGUCUGCUCCAUUUUCAUGCCGCACAACAGCCUUAAACACACCGUCUGUCUCUCUCUCUCUCUCUCUCUCUCUCUCUGUGCGCCUGUCUCUCUCUCAUCCGGCUCCAAUUAAAGCUGCUGUUUCAGAGCCGAGCUGUAAACCAGCUCUGAUUCAUCAGCACACAUCAGCUCCUGGAAUAAAAUAUUCUCCUUUCACGAGCAUUAAACUGGGUUCAGAGUUCAUUUCUGCAGGGAAACUCGCUCACGUUCAGAUCAGAGCAAAUCUCUCGUGCUUCACUCCUCUUUAGCAUCUGCUAAAUGCAUUAAUGUAAAUGCGCACUAAUGUAAAUGCGCACUAAUGUAAAUGCGCACUAAUGCAUGUGUGGAAUAGUCGAACAGGGUUUCUGUUUCAUGCAAAAAUGGCAAAAGGUCUUGUUUUCUGAUAAAUGGAUCAAAAUGAAGUGAGUUUAUGAUUAAAACGAGAACAAAUAUCUGCCAAUGAGCUAAAAAUCAACUUAAU
ensembl:lncRNA